AUGCAAAAUCCAAGUAGAGGAACCAAGUUGCGAUUCCUUACUUGGCCAAGUGUCUUCAUUUCUGAAGUGAACUGUGAUUCAGAAUGUUGUGAAUCUUGUAGCCUUUUGACAGCAAGAAAAGAACCAUCAGGUAGCACUGCCCUGUACAUAGUCCCUGUCCUUCCAGUAGCUAUGAUGUUUUCCUUGCUGAACUGUUUGGUGGCCUUCAUAAGAUCACUUAGUUUCAUCUUUGAAACUGGAUUCUCAAACAUAGACACCUGGAUAAUUGACAAAACCAUGACAACAACAAACGAACACAACUAUUGCAACAAUUAUGAUCACAACUACGACGCCAACAAUAGCUCCAACGAUUGCCGCAUUGUUCUUGCUCUUUGCUGA
rnacentral:rRNA from 1 species